UACAAUGUAUGCCAUCCUAUAAAAGCCUCACUUCAGCGAUCGGACAUUUCCCCCUGGAAGAAAAUUGUAAACCCUAGCAGAGCGUGACGACAUCCCGAUUCGAACCUCCCCUGAGAAGCUCCAGCCGAACCUCCCCGAUUCGUGCCAUAGCCCAGGAUUUUGGCUAAUCGGCAAUCAGCUCAGAGGUCGAGGGUGAGAAAGUUGCAGUAUAUAUCGGAGCUCGAACAAAGCGUGACGACAUUUCAGUUAUGGAUCAGUUGAGUUUGCAGAGGUUGAGAAAGAAGAGGAAAGUUGUUGCUCUUACUUUCUAUAUUCAAAUGUGUACUAUAGUAAGGGCUUUGAUGGGAAUAUUGUCAGAACUUGCUGCUCUAUAUGGUCCUAAACCAAGCAGUAGGUCGUACGAGUUAAAAUAUUAUAGGAAGAGGGAUCAUAUUAGGAGGCUUGUGUAUGCGGAUGACGUUACUUGUACUGAACAAUUAAGAAUGGAUAGGAAUGCAUUUCUCAGGGCUUGAAUACAAUAGCAAACGAAAUGAAAGAAGCUUGCAUGAUGAUCUCAAAGAGUGUUCACUCCGACGUUUAUUAAGAGAAGUUCCUUGAACUUUCGAGAGCUCUUCGUAAUGUUGAUGGUCUGACUUCAGCACAAGUUCGUAUGGCUAUUCAAAAGUUCGGUAACCAUCCGAAUUAUAUUCUCCUUUUCUUUGGUACCGAGCCAGAAUAUCGCUUGGAAAUGGUGCAGGAUUUCCUUACGAAUCAAGCACCGCCUUCUACAUCUAUGUAGACGACGAGCUCAUCGGGAGUGGCGAGUAUCGGCCCAAGAAGGAGAUUGCGAUCAAGUUUCCCUGAAAUUGUUGAGUCCGGUGGUCUUCUAAAUUCUCCUAGAUGCAUGUCAGGAUGUUGGAUUUUGGGUUUGAAUACUGCAGCUGCAUUUGUGUUGGCCCGUUUAUUACUCUGCUUGAAUGUUUUCUAAAUUUUUGCGAAUCUUUACAUGGUGUCGGGGCUGGUAGUUGAUUUUGCGUUUUAGAACGUAGUACGCCUCUUUGAACCAAAUCCGCACAUUUCCGAUGCUUUUCAUCUAUACAUUCGAUUUCCUUGAGCA